ACGAACGCUGGCGGCGUGCUUAACACAUGCAAGUCGAACGGAAAGGCCCUGCUUUUGUGGGGUGCUCGAGUGGCGAACGGGUGAGUAACACGUGAGUAACCUGCCCUUGACUUUGGGAUAGCUUCAGGAAACUGGGGCUAAUGCCGGAUAGGAGCUCCUGCUGCAUGGUGGGGGUUGGAAAGUUUCGGCGGUUGGGGAUGGACUCGCGGCUUAUCAGCUUGUUGGUGGGGUAGUGGCUUACCAAGGCUUUGACGGGUAGCCGGCCUGAGAGGGUGACCGGCCACAUUGGGACUGAGAUACGGCCCAGACUCCUACGGGAGGCAGCAGUGGGGAAUAUUGCACAAUGGGCGGAAGCCUGAUGCAGCAACGCCGCGUGCGGGAUGACGGCCUUCGGGUUGUAAACCGCUUUCGCCUGUGACGAAGCGUGAGUGACGGUAAUGGGUAAAGAAGCACCGGCUAACUACGUG
rnacentral:rRNA from 1 species